GACGAACGCUGGCGGCGUGCUUAACACAUGCAAGUCGAACGAUGAAGAAAAGAAUUGAAGCUUCGGCAGAAAUUCAUUUCGGAUUAGUGGCAGACGGGUGAGUAACGCGUGAGCAACCUACCUCUUACAAAGGGAUAGCCUCGGGAAACCGGGAUUAAUACCAUAUAACAUUGCGACGAAGCAUUUCGAUGCAAUCAAAGCUACGGCGGUAAGAGAUGGGCUCGCGUCCCAUUAACCAGAUGGUGAGGUAACGGCUCACCAUAGUAACGAUGGGUAACCGGCCUGAGAGGGGGAACGGUCACACUGGAACUGAGACACGGUCCAGACUCCUACGGGAGGCAGCAGUGGGGAAUAUUGCACAAUGGAGGGAACUCUGAUGCAGCGACGCCGCGUGAGUGAUGAAGGAAUUCGUUUCGUAAAACUCUGUUCUAGGGGAAGAAAAGGACUGUACCAUAGGAGAAAGCUCCGGCUAAAUACGU
rnacentral:rRNA from 1 species